rnacentral:rRNA from 1 species
GAUGAACGCUGGCGGCGUGCCUAAUACAUGCAAGUCGAGCGGACAGACUAGUAGCUUGCUCCUCUGACGUUAGCGGCGGACGGGUGAGUAACACGGGGGUAACCUACCUAUAUGACGGGUAUAACUUGGGAAAACCGGAUCUAAUACGGUAGGAUGUAGGGAACCACAUGGUUCAGGAGUGAAAUACGGUUUUGCUGGCACUUAUAGAUGGAUCCGCGCCGCAUGAGGUAGUUGGUAAGGUAACGGCUUACCAGGGCAACGAUGGGUGGCCGAACUGAGAGGGUGAUAGGCCACACUGGAACUGAGACACGGUCAAGACGCCUAAGGGAGGCACCAGUAGCGAAUCUUCCGCAAUGGGCGAAAGCAUGGCGCAGCAACGCCGAGUGAGUGAUGACGGCCUCCGGAUCGUAAAACUCUGUUAUGAGGGAAAAACAAAUGUCUAAGUAACCAUGCCCGUCUUGACGGUACCUAAUCAGAAAGCACCGGCUAACUACGUG